UGGGGAAUUUUGCGCAAUGGGCGAAAGCCUGACGCAGCAACGCCGCGUGAGUGAUGAAGGUCUUCGGAUCGUAAAGCUCUGUCGGCAGGAGAGACGGGCUGAAUAGUUAAUACCUAUUUAGUUUGACGGUACCUGCAAAGGAAGCACCGGCUAACUCUGUGCCAGCAGCCGCGGUAAGACAGAGGGUGCAAGCGUUGUUCGGAAUUAUUGGGCGUAAAGCGCGCGUAGGCGGUUUGAUAAGUCGAAUGUGAAAUCCCAGGGCUUAACCCUGGACGUGCAUUCGAAACUGUCUAACUGGAGUUUCGGAGAGGGUGGUGGAAUUCCCAGUGUAGAGGUGAAAUUCGUAGAUAUUGGGAGGAACAUCAGUGGCGAAGGCGACCACCUGGACGAUGACUGACGCUGAGGCGCGAGAGCGUGGGUAGCAAACAGG
rnacentral:rRNA from 1 species